rnacentral:lncRNA from 1 species
GGGCAAGUUUUUUUUUUCUUUUUUCGGGAAAUACAAUAGGCAGUGUUUUCAAUAACGAUCAGGAACAAAAAAAUGUCCGUUUUUAUUUUUUUAACUACAUUAUUAUCUCCCAACCCCAAUUUCACUCACAAACAUCAAUUUAUGUGAUCGGUGCCUAAUUUAAGCUUGAUAUAUUGAGAUCUUAUUGGUGGUCCUGUCGAUUUUUAUUUUUUGUUUAAG